AAAAAAGCUUUGAACAAGAGGAGUAUCUGCCCCUUAGAUUUUAGAGAAUAGAACAUUUGCUGAGAGUUCUUAAUCGAUGGACAGAAAAGGUAGCUUGGGAGCUGGAUAGGUGAAGUAGGAGUAACUUAUCUCGGGUAGUUAUCCGUUAAAGACUGAAAGUUGAGAGGUGUAUCGCAAUUAGAUACACAAAAUAGGUGGUACCGCGAAUUCAAGCAUUCGUCCUAAUA
rfam:Carnobacterium divergens DSM 20623 NODE_90, whole genome shotgun sequence.